rnacentral:rRNA from 1 species
GACGAACGCUGGCGGCGUGCCUAAUACAUGCAAGUCGAACGCACUCUCGUUUAGAUUGAAGGAGCUUGCUCCUGAUUGAUAAACAUUUGAGUGAGUGGCGGACGGUGAGUAACACGUGGGUAACCUGCCCUAAAGUGGGGGAUAACAUUUGGAAACAGAUGCUAAUACCGCAUAAAACCUAACACCGCAUGGUGUAGGGUUGAAAGAUGGUUUCGGCUAUCACUUUAGGAUGGACCCGCGGUGCAUUAGUAGUUGGUGAGGUAAAGGCUCACCAAGACCGUGAUGCAUAGCCGACCUGAGAGGGUAAUCGGCCACACUGGGACUGAGACACGGCCCAGACUCCUACGGGAGGCAGCAGUAGGGAAUCUUCCACAAUGGACGAAAGUCUGAUGGAGCAACGCCGCGUGAGUGAAGAAGGUUUUCGGAUCGGUAAAACUCUAGUUGUUGGAGAAGAAUGUAUCUGAUAGUAACUGAUCAGGUAGUGACGGUAUCC